AGAGUUUGAUCAUGGCUCAGAUUGAACGCUGGCGGCAGGCCUAACACAUGCAAGUCGAGCGGUAACAGAUCCAGCUUGCUGGAUGCUGACGAGCGGCGGACGGGUGAGUAAUGCAUAGGAAUCUGCCCGGUAGUGGGGGAUAACCUGGGGAAACCCAGGCUAAUACCGCAUACGUCCUACGGGAGAAAGGGGGCUUCGGCUCCCGCUAUCGGAUGAGCCUAUGUCGGAUUAGCUAGUUGGUGAGGUAACGGCUCACCAAGGCCACGAUCCGUAGCUGGUCUGAGAGGAUGAUCAGCCACAUCGGGACUGAGACACGGCCCGAACUCCUACGGGAGGCAGCAGUGGGGAAUAUUGGACAAUGGGGGCAACCCUGAUCCAGCCAUGCCGCGUGUGUGAAGAAGGCCCUCGGGUUGUAAAGCACUUUCAGCGAGGAAGAACGCCUGUCGGUUAAUACCCGGUAGGAAAGACAUCACUCGCAGAAGAAGCACCGGCUAACUCCGUGCCAGCAGCCGCGGUAAUACGGAGGGUGCAAGCGUUAAUCGGAAUUACUGGGCGUAAAGCGCGCGUAGGUGGCUUGAUAAGCCGGUUGUGAAAGCCCCGGGCUCAACCUGGGAACGGCAUCCGGAACUGUCAGGCUAGAGUGCAGGAGAGGAAGGUAGAAUUCCCGGUGUAGCGGUGAAAUGCGUAGAGAUCGGGAGGAAUACCAGUGGCGAAGGCGGCCUUCUGGACUGACACUGACACUGAGGUGCGAAAGCGUGGGUAGCAAACAGGAUUAGAUACCCUGGUAGUCCACGCCGUAAACGAUGUCGACCAGCCGUUGGGUGCCUAGAGCACUUUGUGGCGAAGUUAACGCGAUAAGUCGACCGCCUGGGGAGUACGGCCGCAAGGUUAAAACUCAAAUGAAUUGACGGGGGCCCGCACAAGCGGUGGAGCAUGUGGUUUAAUUCGAAGCAACGCGAAGAACCUUACCAGGGCCUU
rnacentral:rRNA from 1 species